rnacentral:hammerhead_ribozyme from 1 species
UCACUACUGACGAGUCCCAAACAGGGCAAAACAGCUGUCUAGUGC